ensembl:lncRNA
GGAGUGUUCUUCACUGAAACCCGAUAGGCUAAAGAAUGCUCAAGCUGUAACAGUGCACAGGAGUGAGGACUGAACUCCCACAGAACGGGUCUUCUCUGCAGUUUGAUGUAUGGGCACAUUAACAUUCAUGUGUUCUGGUAUUUUGGAUGCUAGUGAACUUCCUUAGAAUUUACUUGACAUUGCUUUGAAAGUGUCUUCCCUUUGCCUUUUAAAAUACACUGACCCACACAGAUGCCGCCUGGCCCAUGUUCUGUCUUGGUGACAUGCUAUAUUCUUGAGUUGCUUUAUCUACUCAUUUAAGGAUUGCAUGGGAAAAAAAACUGGGCUGCUAUACCUGGAGACAUGAGCAAGAACUGGAAUUCAGAACUGAUCAGAGGCAAACAUGACUCUGAUCACAUGUUUUCUGUCCCUUUUUGGCUGAUUUCCCAUGCUUGCAUUGCUGGCGGCUAUUCUUCUGAAGAUUUUGAUGUUUGCUAAGAUAAAGGAUGACAACGCUAAAAGCAGGAAUCUUUGCGGAACAUCCAUUGAUGUUGCCGUGGGCUCAAGGGCCAGGAUCUCCCCUGGCCUAUCAACUGCCCCAAGAUGGAGCUGCAUGCAUUCCAUCUGCUCCUCUGCAUGGAGCAUGACUUCUCCUCACCUUUGCAGCCACCCUUUCCUGAAGAGCCUCUUUUUAAUUUUUCCCAAGUUCAAUUUGUGCAGGUCAUAAUGUCAAUCAGUGCCAAAGAGAAAGAGGUGACUGACUGGCUGAUCAAUGAAUAUGCAUGGAUCCUAACAGUAAAGGAGCUCCUGGUGGGCUCUGAGGUGCCUGCUUUUCACUGUUGUAGCAGAAAUGCUAAGUCAUGGCCUGAACCAGUGAUUGAGCACCUGGUGGGAAGGCAGGGCCAACCCAGGGGAGCUCAGCUGCAUGUGGAGCACCUGAGUGAUUGGAAGGCAUGGAGCCAGGAUCCACCCCUUCCCAGACUUCAUUUAAGGGUUAGCAGUGGAGGUGAGGAUAUCUUGUUGGAGGUUACUGCUUACUGAAGGUCUUCAUAAGUGUAUGCUGGUGGAGCAAUACCAAGUUAUCUCUCAAACUUCCAAAGCUGGCUGGAGCUGGAUGUGAGGUUUUUACAAGGUAACCACCAAAAGCAGUAAAGUGAAAGCUACAGAACUGGCAGACAUCGGUAUCUAAUAGCUGGUGUCCUUCCUCCUUUCCUGCUGUUACAUAUGCUCUGUGAAAUGGUGUCAAUGAACAGAAGACAACCAAGCCUGCUUUUUCUUUUCCCAACUCAUCAUACAGUGUACCUUGUCUCACCUCCCAGCAAACUGACAGCAACCUGUACCCAACAUGAAAAAAAAAAUAACAAGCAGAUAGCACUCAAGCAGCAAAAUCAACAUUCUUAUUCUUCAGUUAAUGACUAAUGUGAGCAAGAUGAGGUCCAGCAGCACUCCAACAGAACAGAAGAGAGUCCUUUAUUCCCAAAGCAUCAAUGAUAUGGUCAAUAGUUAAAUCCAAUAAGUGAUAUUUUUUCCCUCUUCUUGAACCUAAAAAUUAAGAAAUGAGAGCUCUACAGCUCUUUUUCUUACCUGUAUAUGAAUUACUUGACUGACAUUGCCUUUCAAAAAGAGCUGCAAAUAUGUUAAGCCAGGAGGGUAAAGAAAAUGAAUCCUACUCAUUAAUUAGCAUUACUACAUAGUGCAAGUAUGCACAAUGUGGAUUUGAAGAUGGAUCUCCACCUUUUACGUAUAACCUGGCAGGCGUACAAGUGACAAUGUAUCGUAGCAUUUUGUGUAAACCCUUGUGAAAGUUCUGUCCUUGGUGAGAUACAGAUCUAGGAGAACCAACAUACAGAUGGACAGGCGAUCAAGAAAAAAACAAACAGGAAAUAGCAGGCUGAAGAGAAGAUACACACAUGCAAAGAAAUAGUGCUUAAAUUCUUCUAAGGUCUGAUAAGAGGAGACUGAUGGUCCAGCUGAACCUGCAAAAAGUGAUAGAACUCCAAAUUGUACUGAAUUUUUUCAAAGCAACUGGUACAUAGUAGCAUCAACAAUAGGUUGUAUCACAUGGAUCAUACCCAGGAGGGUAGAGGCUGCAGUAUUCUGACAGACCCUGGUGUAAUACAUGCACCCUAAUGGGUCUCCCAGACCUACCUCUAGGCCACUCUUUCAGUUGGCCUCCAGCUGUUACUCCGUCCACAUAACUGUGAGUAACCCUAUGAGAGCAUGUGUGUGUCUGAACUGUAAAUGGAUGUAUGGUGUGAAUUAUUAAUUAUUAUAAAGCUGUGGCUAAUAAUGAAAGCUUGAGUCUAUUCAUAAUAUAAAUAUAUGUGAACCUAAGUAGUAAAAGGUGUUUUAAUAAAUAUUGGUCAUGAUCUGUCUCCCCAGCUUGAUUGCCUACCAGAGAAAAUGGUAUUUAUAAUAAUGAAAUUUCCUUUCUACUUGGAAAAGACAGGAGAUGAACCAUUGAAUUCAGCAUGCUAGGUAGCUGCAGAGAGGACCCUCCCCCCUUCAUCUAAAUGUUGAGCAGUAGCUUUAUUUCCUGAAUGUACCCAUCCAUUAUCUUCUACUGACAAUAAACACCUUACAAUUUCUUUUUAGUAAGAUCUUUAUGAGCCUUCAGUUCAUGUUAAGUUUAAAAGGGUCGUAUUCCUUUGUUUUGACAGUGCAAAGGAUUCUGGUUUACUUUUAGCUGUUUUUGAAGCUUAAUUGGAGCCAGAAGGCUGGAUCAUCAGUAGACAUAAUGUAUUAUCAUUAACUUCAUGAGGCAAUUUCUCAUGUACAAUUUUGCUAGUGCAGACAU